UUUUUCUUAAAUGCAUUAUAUAUUUUAAUGAAAUCUACUUUUUAAAAAAAAAAAAAAAUAUUAGUAAUUUCAUCUAAUUAGAUGUUGAUAGCAAAAAAAUGAAAUAUACAUUUCUAAUAUUUUUUUAUAUAGACUUAAAAGAUUCUAUGAUAUUGAAGCUUAUUUUACAAACACUCUCGUUAAUCAUUUGCAGAAAUGUAUAUUUUUU
rnacentral:lncRNA from 1 species